rnacentral:rRNA from 1 species
GCACAAGCGGUGGAGCAUGUGGUUUAAUUCGACGCAACGCGAAGAACCUUACCAGGGCUUGACAUCCCCUGACCGCGUAUGAAAGUACGUUUUCACCCUCGGGUGACAGGGAGACAGGUGGUGCAUGGUUGUCGUCAGCUCGUGUCGUGAGAUGUUGGGUUAAGUCCCGCAACGAGCGCAACCCCUACGUUUAGUUGCUAACGCGUGAAGGCGAGCACUCUAGACGAACUGCCGUUGACAAAACGGAGGAAGGUGGGAUGACGUCAAAUCAUCAUGCCCCUUAUGUUCUGGGCUACACACGUGCUACAAUGACCGGUACAGACGGACGCAAAGCCGCGAGGUGGAGCAAAUCCUAAAAAGCCGGUCUCAGUUCGGAUUGCAGGCUGCAAUUCGCCUGCAUGAAGUCGGAAUCGCUAGUAAUCGCAGGUCAGCAUACUGCGGUGAAUACGUUCCCGGGCCUU